AUCUUCGAGGCAAAUAGCUGCUAAGAAAAAGCGAUGGCACACUUCACUUCACAACACAAUCAUUUCAGGUGAUGUCUUACUUGAGAAAACUCCAGGCCAGACAUGGAGACAGACAGUGCAGAACACAUGACGGCAGCUGGAAGAUGGAACAGAGACUGGGCUCCAAUGCUGUUGGUCCUCCUCCGUUGAUCAUCACCACCUUAUGCACCUGCUCUGGAUACUCGUGUGCCAAGAACGAUCCAGGCCUUCCUGUUCUGAGUUUUCGUGCCUUGUGGACAGGUCGUGACAGUACCAG